CUUUUUCUAUUGGUUCUCGUGUGCUUACCAAGUAUAGAAGUUGCACCCUUCAUGAAAAAGUACAAGCUCUUAUUUGCACUCGUAAUUGGUUACAUGGUUAUGCUAUUGAUAAAGAUAAUGAAGACAAUGUAAGUAUUAAAACAACCUUGUCUAAGGAAGGAUCAAAUGAUCUAGAAGAUAUUCAUGCGGAGAAAGAAGAUGAUGGAGAAUCGGAAGAAUUUGAUAAUUGAUGUGGAAGAGAAACUUGAUGUUGCGUUAGAUUCUUUGUUGAAUGUGGAGAAGCAAAUGAGGCUUGCUGGUGAUGUUGCUGGAACGAAG